rnacentral:tRNA from 1 species
GGGACUGUGGCUUAAUGGUAGAGCGCUUGCCUAGCAUGCAUGAAGCUCAGUACCA